AGUGAACGCUGGCGGUAGGCCUAACACAUGCAAGUCGAACGGCAGCACAGUAAGAGCUUGCUCUUACGGGUGGCGAGUGGCGGACGGGUGAGGAAUACAUCGGAAUCUACUUUUUCGUGGGGGAUAACGUAGGGAAACUUACACUAAUACCGCAUACGACCUACGGGUGAAAGCAGGGGAUCUUCGGACCUUGCGCGAUUGAAUGAGCCGAUGUCGGAUUAGCUAGUUGGCGGGGUAAAGGCCCACCAAGGCGACGAUCCGUAGCUGGUCUGAGAGGAUGAUCAGCCACACUGGAACUGAGACACGGUCCAGACUCCUACGGGAGGCAGCAGUGGGGAAUAUUGGACAAUGGGCGCAAGCCUGAUCCAGCCAUACCGCGUGGGUGAAGAAGGCCUUCGGGUUGUAAAGCCCUUUUGUUGGGAAAGAAAAGCAGCAGGUUAAUACCCCGCUGUUCUGACGGUACCCAAAGAAUAAGCACUGGCUAACUUCGUG
rnacentral:rRNA from 1 species